rnacentral:lncRNA from 1 species
AAAAAGAUGGUAUGAUUUUUAAUUGGGAUGAUAAAGAAGGAUAUUUGUCAGUCUUUUAGAACUGUGUGAAUGAUGAUGAUAAUUGAGGCUGCUUUUGGUGGAGGGGAUAAGUGGAGAGAUAUCUUGCUAAUACUCAAAAGUCAAAACAGUUGAAGAAUAACCUUAUUUACCCAAGUGCAAAAGGUAAGAGAGAAGGGAAGAGAUAAUUCUAUUUUGUUAUAUUGGCAGAACAGAGUUACCUCGCGCAUCAGAGGAAGCUUGUCCCCUCCAGUUAUUUUGCUUCUAUCUACUCUUCAAACAUACAGAAAGAAGAGGAUAAUUUUGUCCUUGUACGAAAAUAAAACUAAGCUAUUUUGAAAUUUGAUGCACUCAUUUAUUCUCCACUUGUUCUUCCAACCAAAUGCUAAAACACUAUUUAUUUUGUGGAAGUUCUAUCUGUUCUGGAG